CGGUCUCUUACCUCGCUCGGUCGAACGUCUCCAAUCGAUUGAUCUUGAGCUGGAUGCUGCACAUCCUCCGGAUGGGUUAUGCACGAGACAAGAGCAAUGCAACAUAGCACUUGCCGAUCUUUGAGUACGAUCCCAUCCUUCUCGUAUGGUGGGUCAUUGUAAUUUAUGCGGCAAGACAU
rnacentral:snoRNA from 1 species